GACGUAGGGCGCGAGCGUUGUCCGGAUUUAUUGGGCGUAAAGAGCUCGUAGGCGGCUUGUCGCGUCGAAUGUGAAAACUCGGGGCUCAACUCCGAGCUUGCAUUCGAUACGGGCAGGCUAGAGUUCGGUAGGGGAGACUGGAAUUCCUGGUGUAGCGGUGAAAUGCGCAGAUAUCAGGAGGAACACCGGUGGCGAAGGCGGGUCUCUAGUACGGUACUGACGCUGAGACGCGAAAGCGUGGGGAGCGAACAGG
rnacentral:rRNA from 1 species